UACGUAGGGGGCAAGCGUUGUCCGGAAUCAUUGGGCGUAAAGCGCGUGUAGGCGGCCAGAAAAGUCCGCUGUGAAAACUCGAGGCUCAACUUCGAGCUGUCGGUGGAAACUUUCUGGCUAGAGUCCGGAAGAGGAGAGUGGAAUUCCUGGUGUAGCGGUGAAAUGCGCAGAUAUCAGGAAGAACACCCGUGGCGAAGGCGGCUCUCUGGGACGGUACUGACGCUGAGACGCGAAAGCGUGGGGAGCGAACAGG
rnacentral:rRNA from 1 species